rnacentral:rRNA from 1 species
CACCUACGGGUGGCAGCAGUGAGGAAUAUUGGACAAUGGGCGCAAGCCUGAUCCAGCCAUGCCGCGUGCAGGAAGACGCAUCUAUGGUGUGUAAACUGCUUUUGUACGGGAAGAAACACUCCUUCGUGAAGGAGCUUGACGGUACCGUAAGAAUAAGGAUCGGCUAACUCCGUGCCAGCAGCCGCGGUAAUACGGAGGAUCCAAGCGUUAUCCGGAAUCAUUGGGUUUAAAGGGUCCGUAGGCGGUUUAGUAAGUCAGUGGUGAAAGCCCAUCGCUCAACGAUGGAACGGCCAUUGAUACUGCUAGACUUGAAUUACUAGGAAGUAACUAGAAUAUGUAGUGUAGCGGUGAAAUGCUUAGGUAUUACAUGGAAUACCAAUUGCGAAGGCAGGUUACUACUAGUGGAUUGACGCUGAUGGACGAAAGCGUGGGGAGCGAACAGGAUUAGAUACCCUGGUAGUCCACGCCGUAAACGAUGGAUACUAGCUGUUCGGAGCAAUCUGAGUGGCUAAGCGAAAGUGAUAA